rfam:Chlorocebus sabaeus isolate 1994-021 chromosome 2, whole genome shotgun sequence.
AUGACCUGGGUACCUUGUUUAAAUGCAGAUUCUCAUCUAGUGGUCUGGGCUGGGGCCUGAGAUUCUGCAUUGCUAGCAAGCACCCAGGUGAUGCUAA